rnacentral:rRNA from 1 species
UACGUAGGGGGCAAGCGUUGUCCGGAAUCAUUGGCGUAAAGCGCGUGUAGGCGGCCAGGUAGGUCCGCUGUGAAAACUCGAGGCUCAACCUCGAGACGUCGGCGGAAACCAUCUGGCUAGAGUCCGGAAGAGGAGAGUGGAAUUCCCGUGUGUAGCGGUGAAAUGCGCAGAUAUCAGGAGAACACCGUGGCGAAGGCGGUCUCUCGCGGUACGGUACUGAGCUGAGAGAGAACGUGGGGAGCGAACAGGAUUAGAACCGUACCGAGUCAGUCCAGACCAGUCUCG